rnacentral:lncRNA from 1 species
GGGCAUAUGACAAAGUAAAUAAGUAUAAUCUACAUGGGCAAAGCGUGGAUAUAUAAUAAAAAGAUAUUGUAUUUUAGAAGAAAUCAUAAAAAAAAUUUGAACAAACAUCAUCAUCAUUUUAUAUUUAAUUAUUUUUUCAGUUUUAUAUUACAGUCCCAUAGACUGAACUGUUAUAAAUGGAAACAGAGAAAGCCCACUGCAUGAUUAAAACCCACUUUAAACCCAACUUAAUAAGAUAAGGAUAAAGAAAAAACACGCCAGAUAUAUGCACAUGUCUUCAGCUAGUCAUGAUGGAGGAUACGUGUUGUAGAGCUGAUGUUGCUUCUUCUCCGGAGCCGCAAUGGAAAGAGCUUCUGAAGCGCCAAAACUUCUGAAUUUUUCACAGCAACCUAGCAUUUAUUCCAUUUGUAGGCCUCAAUCUCCCAUAUCACCAACGUUUUCUUCGAAAAGUUCAUUCUCUUCGCUGGAUGUGAAUGACCAAGAAGCUUUAAUCAGUUCAUACAGUCUUUGUCAAAACGCUUGUUUAAAACAAGCUUUGACUUUUCUUAAACUGUGAUAAACCCUAAAAGCAAACAUGCAAAGCUCUAAUCUUCAUUUCUUACAAAGACUUUCCUGGAUUAUAAAAGCAAUUAUUGAUAUCUUUAGAAGGUGAAGAAAGAUAAUCUAUACUAUUACUGCCAUUGAAUUUCAACUUAUUUACAAUGUUAUGCCAUUGUAUUUAGUUCUAUAUAAAUAUUAUUUAUUUGAAAUUAACAACUGAAAAUUUUAUAUA